AGGUGGUAGCUCAGUGGUUAAGGCAGUGGAUUCCUGAUUGGAAGGUUGUGGGUUCAAAUCCCAUAUCAACUA